rnacentral:tRNA from 1 species
GCCACCGUAGCUCAGCUGGUAGAGCAACUGAUUUGUAAUCAGUCGGUCGGGGGUUCGAGUCCCUUCGGUGGCU